AUCAGAUUACCUCUCUACCAUAUCCAGUUCAGAUACCCUUCUACUUGCUAUUCGCUUGCAAAGUGCCAACACCGUGCCAUGCGUUUAUGGAUCAACCAACUAUACGUACAGGUUUCGCGACUCAGUUUACAGGUAGGUUUGAAAAUUAACUGCCUUAACUUUUCUCAGCAACUAUUGGUAUAGAGAUCAAAUUUUUUAAA